GGAUUAGAUACCCUGGUAGUCCACGCCGUAAACGAUGAGAACUUGACGUUGGUUUGCUUAGCAAAUCGGUGUCGUAGCUAACGCGAUAAGUUCUCCGCCUGGGGAGUACGGCCGCAAGGUUGAAACUCAAAGGAAUUGACGGGGGCCCGCACAAGCGGUGGAGUAUGUGGUUUAAUUCGAUGCAACGCGAAGAACCUUACCUGGUCUUGACAUGUCAAGAAGUCUGCAGAGAUGCGGAUGUGCCUUCGGGAACUUGAACACAGGUGCUGCAUGGCUGUCGUCAGCUCGUGCCG
rnacentral:rRNA from 1 species